AUUCUAUAGAAUACUAUAUACAACUUGUUUUCUUUUGAUUUUUUUAUGCUUUUCAUCUUUUUUUUCUUUUCUUUCAUUUUCUACAUUUUUUUAAUCUUUUUGUCUAUAUUACGGUUUUUUCCAAAUGGACAUGGUCACACCUUGGCCAGACUCGGAGGUAACUAGUCUCCAACCCACGCCUCAAGACUCAUAAAGGUUGGGAAGAAGGCGGACCUCGAUGGUCGCCACACGUGUUUAGGUUGUAACCAAACCCCAUGACAUUUUUAUUCUAGAAACCUCAUUCAGACUCCUCCUACUUGUUUUACCUUCGUAUCAACCUAGGCAAGUUUGAAGGGAAUAGCUACAAAGACACUCUACUUCAACCUAGAAUAAGAC
rnacentral:lncRNA from 1 species